GAAAAUUCAUCGGCACAUAGACGUUCGAUCAUCAAGCACAUGGUUGUUCUGAUAUUUAAAUGCAUGAUUGUGGGACUAGAACUGGUUAUUGGAACCCGCCAAAGGUUGAGUAGACUUUCCCAAGAUAUCAAUGUUUCUACAGAAGGGAAAACAUUACAUCAAGUAAACUCAAAAAAGACUUUUAAUUGAUGAAAAUUUAACCUGGGAUGAGCAAAUCUGUAAAAUAGUCUAGGACCUGUAUAUGAG